rnacentral:rRNA from 1 species
UACGAAGGGGGCUAGCGUUGCUCGGAAUCACUGGGCGUAAAGCGCACGUAGGCGGAUUCUUAAGUCAGGGGUGAAAUCCUGGAGCUCAACUCCAGAACUGCCUUUGAUACUGGGAAUCUCGAGUCCGGGAGAGGUGAGUGGAACUGCGAGUGUAGAGGUGAAAUUCGUAGAUAUUCGCAAGAACACCAGUGGCGAAGGCGGCUCACUGGCCCGAUACUGACGCUGAGGUGCGAAAGCGUGGGGAGCAAACAGG